UUCCCUGCUGAUAGUGUUGCCUGUCAAUGUGAAAUGAGAGCCAGCUGCCCCAGCACCUUGCAGCACUGCUCCGACCGAGGCAGGAGCACAGGACCUUUGGAAUGGACCCCUGAAGAUACAAAAUCCAACUGCCCUUGCCAAAGCAGGAUCACUCAGAUUGACAGUUGUUCAACAGCAACCUGGGAGAGACUACUUGCUGCCUUCUGUACCUUCUCCUCUAGUGGGAAGAUUCAUGGGGAGGUAUUUCUGCACGUGGAGAGAGCUGAUGCUUUGCCCGUGUGCUGCUGCUGCGCAAGAACAUCUGCAUCCUUAUGGAAAAGCACCGCUCAACCCUGCUGCUGCAGGAGGCAGUCUGCGACUGCCAGCCAAAGAAACAAGCACCCAGCCCCUUCGCCAGUGGGUUUGCCAAGUCCUCACUGUGAGGAAACCAUAGGAAGCAGAAGGACUGGAUUGCCUGGGAAGACCUCUCUGCACUGCUUGGAGUCCUGUCCCAAGCUUUCUCCAGGCAGCUCAAGAUCCCGCUGCUGCAGCAUCAUUGACACCAGCAGAAGAAGGCUGGAAACAAAACACUUAGUGAAGAUCAGCACGGGGCAGGGGAGUGGAGUGAGAAGUGCAGGAAACCCUGUCUGGUGCUCAGUUCCAGCCAAACACAGGAGGUGCCAUAGCUGUGUCCUCAUGAGACAGCCAUACUCUGGGUGACAGCCCUUUGCCUUCACUGUGCGGACCCCAAUGCAGGCAGGAUGGCUCUGGAUGGGAGAAAAGGCCCAAGCACAACCAUGCUGGCACCAUAUUUUCCAUCCCAUCUAGGGCUCCAUGCCACUAGGCAAAGGCUGUGACCAAAACCACACAGCAAAGCCAUAGCUACAGCAUCCAGAGCUUUUGGGGAAUGGCCUGAGAGAUGAAGGCAUGCUGUGGAGCCCUGGGAGGUGAGAGGGUAAACCCAGAACACCUCAAGAACUGGGGACAGGCCAAGGUCCUCUCCUUGAGAGCACUGACACUAAGCCACUUUACCUGGCAUUUACGCCACCAGUUAGACCAAUGCACUGAAAAGCUGAGGAUAGGCAGCAGAAGACAAACAUCAAGGUCUGAAGAGAAGAAAAAGUCAUCUCCAGCAAACUCGUGAGAGGCUUCUCGUCCAAGAGUGAUAUACACACCAGGGCUCCCAGGAAACAACCGAACACAGGUGCAGGAAAACUCCUUUGCUCCCAGUCUGCAAAUGCCUUCCCCUGAAUUUUCCCAGGGAAACCUCUGGUGCUCCCAGGCUCCUCACUGCUCACCCUCCGUGCAGCACACACUGUCACCUAUGCAAAAGACCUAAAUACUGUCCUCAGUCAAUGCUUGUGGCAUUUCAAGGACAAAAUGAAACAGAUUUUGCUUCUGUCACCACAGUUCAGAUGCUGAGAUGACCGUGCUGCUACGGCCUCUCCUGGCUGCUGCUGUUUACUGAUAUCCAUAGCUGGUUCCUGAGAACAAGGCACAGUGAGACAAGAUGUAUCAAAUGCCCUCACCUUGAAGGGUGCUUAGGUUUGGAGUGGACAGUGGGAGAAGGGAGAGAUGGGGACUGGAUGGAGAUGCUUCUGCCUCCAGAAGAGGCUUUCAAGUCCUGUCUCCUUCCUGCUGCAUUUCUGCCAGCUGCAACACCUCCACACCUCACUUUCCAGCUCUGAUCCCUUUA